ACGAACGCUGGCGGCGUGCUUAACACAUGCCAGUCGCACGAAGAGCGACGGAAGCUUGCUUCUAUCAAUCUUAGUGGCGAACGGGUGAGUAACGCGUAAUCAACCUGCCCUUCAGAGGGGGACAACAGUUGGAAACGACUGCUAAUACCGCAUACGAUCUAACCUCGGCAUCGAGGAUAGAUGAAAGGUGGCCUCUACAUGUAAGCUAUCACUGAAGGAGGGGAUUGCGUCUGAUUAGCUAGUUGGAGGGGUAACGGCCCACCAAGGCGAUGAUCAGUAGCCGGUCUGAGAGGAUGAACGGCCACAUUGGGACUGAGACACGGCCCAGACUCCUACGGGAGGCAGCAGUGGGGAAUCUUCCGCAAUGGACGAAAGUCUGACGGAGCAACGCCGCGUGAGUGAUGACGGCCUUCGGGUUGUAAAGCUCUGUUAAUCGGGACGAAAGGCCUUCUUGCGAAUAGUGAGAAGGAUUGACGGUACCGGAAUAGAAAGCCACGGCUAACUACGUG
rnacentral:rRNA from 1 species